UGGGGAAUUUUCCGCAAUGGGCGAAAGCCUGACGGAGCAAUACCGCGUGAGGGAAGAAAGCCUACUGGGUUGUAAACCUCUUUUUUCAGGGAGGAAAAAAAUGACGUGUACCUGAAGAAUAAGCAUCGGCUAACUCCGUGCCAGCAGCCGCGGUAAGACGGAGGAUGCAAGUGUUAUCCGGAAUUACUGGGCGUAAAGCGUCUGUAGGUGGUUUAAUAAGUCAACUGUUAAAUCUUGAGGCUUAACUUCAAAACAGCAGUCGAAACUAUUAGACUAGAGUAUAGUAGGGGUAAAGGGAAUUUCCAGUGGAGCGGUGAAAUGCGUAGAUAUUGGAAAGAACACCGAUGGCGAAAGCACUUUACUGGGCUAUUACUAACACUCAGAGACGAAAGCUAGGGUAGCAAAUGGG
rnacentral:rRNA from 2 species